CCAUUGGGGGUGGGGCCUAGAAUGCAGUUGUGCGUCUCUAAGCCAUGGUAGAGACGCGGCAUACGGCUCAGUAACACGUGGCUAACCUACCCUUAGGACGGGGACAACCCCGGGAAACUGGGGCUAAUAUCCGAUAGGUGAGGAGGCCUGGAAUGGUUCCUAGUCGAAAAGGCGUUGAAACCAUGCUUUUCGACGUCGCCUAAGGAUGGGGCCGCGCCCGAUCAGGUUGUUGGUGGGGCAACGGCUCACCAAGCCUAUAACCGGUACGGGCCGUGAGAGCGGGAGCCCGGAGAUGGGCACUGAGACAAGGGCCCAGGCCCUACGGGGCGCAGCAGUCGCGAAAACUCCGCAAUGCGCGAAAGCGUGACGGGGCUACCCCGAGUGCCGUCCGCUGAGGAUGGCUUUUCCCCGGUGUAAUGAGCCGGGGGAAUAAGGAGAGGGCAAGUCUGGUGUCAGCCGCCGCGGUAAUACCAGCUCUCCGAGUGGUAGGGAUGAUUAUUGGGCUUAAAGCGUCCGUAGCCGGCUUAGCAAGUCUCCUGUUAAAUUCAGCGACCUAAUCGUUGAGCCGCGGGAGAUACUACUAGGCUAGGAGGCGGGAGAGGUCGACGGUAUUCUCGGGGUAGGGGUGAAAUCCUAUAAUCCCGGGAGGACCACCAGUGGCGAAGGCUGUCGGCUAGAACGCGCUCGACGGUGAGGGACGAAAGCUGGGGGAGCAAACCGGAUUAGAUACCCGGGUAGUCCCAGCUGUAAACGAUGCGGGCUAGGUGUUGGGGUGGCUACGAGCCACUUCAGUGCCGCAGGGAAGCCGUUAAGCCCGCCGCCUGGGGAGUACGGCCGCAAGGUUGAAACUUAAAGGAAUUGGCGGGGGAGCACCACAAGGCGUGAAGCUUGCGGUUCAAUUGGAGUCAACGCCGGG
rnacentral:rRNA from 1 species